UUACAUUUGCCAUUUCGGGGACCUUUAUAACUGACUAGUAUGUCGUAUGGGCUUUGCUCAUUGUUGAUGGUUGUAUGGUGACCUAUAGCUGUUAAUUUGUGUCUUGUGUCUCUAGUGGAGAGUUGUCUCAUUGGCAAUCAUACCACAUCUUCUUUUUAGCUCACCUGACCCAGAGGGCCAAGUGAGCUUUUCUCAUCACUGGCGUCCGUCGUCGUUAACUUAAAAAAAAAAUAUUCUCCUCUGAAACUACUGGGCCAAAUUUAACCAAACUUGGCCACAAUCAUCAUUGGGGUAUCUUGUUUAAAAAAUGUGUCCGGUGACCCGGCCAACCAACAAAGAUGGCCACCAUGGCUAAAAAUAGAACAUAGGGGUAAAAUGUAUAUUUUGGCUUAUAUCUCUGAAACCAAAGCAUUUAGAGCAAAUCUGGCAUGGGGUAAAAUGUUAAUCAGGUCAAGAUCUAUCUGCCCUGAAAUUUUCAGACCAAUCAAGCAACCCGUUGUUGGGUUGCUUCCCCUGAAUUGGUGAUUUUAAGAAAAUUAUGCAGCUUUUGGUUAUUUAUCUUGAAUAUUAUUAUAGCAGAGAUAAACUGUAAACACCAAUAAUAUACAGCAAAG
rnacentral:lncRNA from 1 species